UACCAGCACCCCGAGUGGUCGGGACGUUUUAUUGGGCCUAAAGCAUCCGUAGCCGGUUCUACAAGUCUUCCGUUAAAUCCAACUGCUUAACAGGUGGGCUGCGGAAGAUACUAUAGAGCUAGGAGGCGGGGAGAGGCAAGCGGUACUCGAUGGGUAGGGGUAAAAUCCUUGAUCCAUUGAAGACCACCAGUGGCGAAGGCGGCUUGCCAGAACGCGCUCGACGGUGAGGGAUGAAAGCUGGGGGGAGCAAACCGG
rnacentral:rRNA from 1 species